rnacentral:rRNA from 1 species
GACGAACGCUGGCGGCGUGCUUAACACAUGCAAGUCGAACGGAAAGGCCCUGCUUUUGUGGGGUGCUCGAGUGGCGAACGGGUGAGUAACACGUGAGUAACCUGCCUUGACUUUGGGAUAACUUCAUGAAACUGGGGCUAAUACCGGAUAGGAGCUCCUGCUGCAUGGUGGGGGUUGGAAAGUUUCGGCGGUUGGGGAUGGACUCGCGGCUUAUCAGCUUGUUGGUGGGGUAGUGGCUUACCAAGGCUUUGACGGGUAGCCGGCCUGAGAGGGUGACCGGCCACAUUAGGACUGAGAUACGGCCCAGACUCCUACGGGAGGCAGCAGUGGGGAAUAUUGCACAAUGGGCGGAAGCCUGAUGCAGCAACGCCGCGUGCGGGAUGACGGCCUUCGGGUUGUAAACCGCUUUCGCCUGUGACGAAGCGUGAGUGACGGUAAUGGGUAAAGAAGCACCGGCUAACUACGUG